rnacentral:rRNA from 1 species
GAGGAAUAUUGGUCAAUGGACGGAAGUCUGAACUAGCCAAGUAGCGUGCAGGAAGACGGCCCUAUGGGUUGUAAACUGCUUUUGUAUGGGGAUAAAGUUAGGGACGUGUCCCUAUUUGCAGGUACCAUACGAAUAAGGACCGGCUAAUUCCGUGCCAGCAGCCGCGGUAAUACGGAAGGUCCAGGCGUUAUCCGGAUUUAUUGGGUUUAAAGGGAGCGUAGGCUGGAGAUUAAGUGUGUUGUGAAAUGUAGACGCUCAACGUCUGAAUUGCAGCGCAUACUGGUUUCCUUGAGUACGCACAACGUUGGCGGAAUUCGUCGUGUAGCGGUGAAAUGCUUAGAUAUGACGAAGAACUCCGAUUGCGAAGGCAGCUGACGGGAGCGCAACUGACGCUUAAGCUCGAAGGUGCGGGUAUCAAACAGGAUUAGAUACCCUGGUAGUCCGCACAGUAAACGAUGGAUGCCCGCUGUUGGUACCUGGUAUCAGCGGCUAAGCGAAAGCAUUAAGCAUCCCACCUGGGGAGUACGCCGGCAACGGUG